CCUUUUCAUCAACCUUUUCUUGUCUUACACAUGCAAGUAUCCGCACCCCCGUGAGAACACCCUCCACCCCUUAUUAGGACGAGGAGUUGGUAUCAGGCACAACCCAUAUUGCCCAUAACACCUAGCCACGCCACACCUACAAAGGUAUUCAGCAGUGAUAAACAUUGUUCAUAAGCGACAGCUUGAACCAGUCAAAGUUAACAGAGCCGGCAAAUCCGGUGCCAGCCGCCGCGGCUACACCGUUGGGCUCAAGUUGAUGAACAUCGGCGUUAAGCGUGGUUAAAGUGUUUAAUACAUUAGAGUUAAAUUAUAACCAAGUUGUGACACACUUGUUCUUGAGAAACUCAAAAACGAAAGUUACUCUAACCAAUCCACUUGAAACCACGACAGCUGGGAAACAAACUGGGAUUAGGUACCCCACUAUGCCUAGCCGUAAAAUAUUUAUUUACACCACAAACCGCCCGGGAAUUACGAGCGCAAGCUUAAAACCCAAAGGACUUGACGGUGUCCCACCCACCUAGAGGAGCCUGUUCUAUAAUCGAUUUUCCCCGAUUAACCUCACCACUUUUAGCCCUUCAGCCUGUAUACCUCCGUCGUAAGCUUACCAUGUGAACGAAACUAGUGAGCCUAAAGAUCUUUACAUCAACACGUCAGGUCAAGGUGCAGCUUAUGAAGCGGAAAGAAAUGGGCUACAAUCUCUAAAAUAGAACAAACGAAAGACCAUAUGAAACAUAGUCAUGAAGGCGGAUUUAGUAGUAAAAAGAAAAUAGAGUGUUCUUUUUAAUAAGGCCCUGGGACGCGUACACACCGCCCGUCACCCUCUUCAAACAA
rnacentral:rRNA from 1 species